UCUUUCAAAACAACAGAAAUGUGGUCCCAGAAGGAGUUGUUAAGUUGGACCUAAGGCAGAGCUACCCACGGCUGUCUCUAUGUGGCCAGGAAAGUUGUAGGAGGGGCAGAGUGUGCAAAGAUGCUGAAAGUGGCCCAUUUUUAACUGAGACACUCUCUCUUCUUACAGUAUUUGGGAUUUUAUUGCCUAGAAAUGGGUGGGCCAGCCUUUCCUGAUAGAGACCACCCUCAGUUUACUGUGUCCUUCUCUUGGCCUUCUCCUUGCUGUGUGACCUUGGGACACAGGUUUAUACACGAAUGCCCCAGCGUGACUCCUGCGUGUGGCUGAAGUCUCCCUGGGGGACACCUGUCAGGAGAGCCAAGACUUGAUCAAUGUCGGCUGCCCUCAGGAGACCUUGGAGUCAGCGAGGACCACGUCCUGCCUGAAGAGACAGGUCCACCUUUGGCCCAAGCCCCAGGGCAUGCUGGGAGAAAGGUGGGUGCCACCCUUUCUGGGGUCAAGGUCCUGGUCUCUUGGCUGGCUCCUCCCAAGUUGAUCUGGGCUCCCAGCUUUGGUUCGCCACCCAAGGCUCUGCUCCAUGUGUAUGUGAGGGUAGGUGGGGCUGGAGGGGUACGGCUGGGUCCUGGCCAGAGUCGUGGCUCCAGUCUGGAAGUCCAGGCAUACCUAAGUCAUCUCUCGUGGCUCCCCAAUGCCAUAUUAGGCUGCCCCCUCUGAAGGGUGGAAUCUCUGACUCAUCCACCCCUUCCCCCCACACCCUCACACUCCUGCCAGUUUUGGCCAAGAUUAGAAUUCACUCAAAUCUGUGGGUUCUAAGGUUUCUGCGCUAUUUCAGUUUGGCAAAUGACUCCUUGUUUCAAGUUAGAAAAAGAAGUCCUUUCCCGAAAGAGGCUUGGGAAGGCUUUUCUUGGUGACCCAAUGGUUUGGGCAACUGAAAAGGUGAUGAUUUCAGUGCAUGUUAAACAGA